GACGAACGCUGGCGGCGUGCCUAAUACAUGCAAGUCGAGCGAACAGACGAGGAGCUUGCUCCUCUGACGUUAGCGGCGGACGGGUGAGUAACACGUGGAUAACCUACCUAUAAGACUGGGAUAACUUCGGGAAACCGGAGCUAAUACCGGAUAAUAUAUUGAACCGUAUGGUUCAAUAGUGAAAGACGGUAUUGCUGUCACUAAUAGAUGGAUCCGCGCCGCAUUAGUUAGUUGGUAAGGUAACGGCUUACCAAGGCAACGAUGGUAAGCCGACCUGAGAGGGUGAUCGGCCACACUGGAACUGAGAAACGGCCCAGACCCUUACGGGGGGAAGCGGUAGGGAAUCUUCCGGAAUGGGGGAAAGCCGGACGUAGCAACGCGGGGGGAGGAAUGAAGGUCUUCGGAUGGGAAAGCUCUGUUGUUAGGAAGGAAGUAAUGUGUAAGUAACUGCGCACGUCUUGACGGUACCUAAUCAGAAAGCCACGGCUAACUACGUG
rnacentral:rRNA from 1 species